GAUGAACGCUGGCGGCGUGCCUAAUACAUGCAAGUCGAACGAAGAUCUAGCUUGCUAGAUCUUAGUGGCGAACGGGUGAGUAAUACAUAAAUAAUCUGCCCAUAUGACUGGGAUAACUAUUGGAAACGAUAGCUAAUACCGGAUAGGUUGAUUGGAGGCAUCUCUGAUUAAUUAAAGUAGGAUUUCUACACAAAUGGAUGAGUUUAUGGCGCAUUAGUUAGUUGGUGGGGUAACGGACUACCAAGACGAUGAUGCGUAGCCGACCUGAGAGGGUGACCGGGCACACUGGGACUGGGACACGGCCCAGACUCCUACGGGAGGCAGCAGUAGGGAAUUUUGGGCAAUGGGCGGAAGCCUGACCGGGCAACGCCGCGUGAGUGAUUAAGGCCUUCGGGUUGUAAAGCUCUGUUGUAAGGGAAGAACAUUCAGGAUAGGAAAUGAUCUUGAACUGACGGUACCUUACCAGAAAGCCACGGCUAACUACGUGCCAGCCGCCGCCGUAAAAC
rnacentral:rRNA from 1 species